UACGUAGGGCGCAAGCGUUGUCCGGAAUUAUUGGGCGUAAAGAGCUCGUAGGCGGCUUGUCACGUCGGGUGUGAAAGCCCGGGGCUUAACCCCGGGUCUGCAUUCGAUACGGGCAAACUGGAGUGUUGCAGGGGAGACUGGAAUUCCUGGUGUAGCGGUGAAAUGCGCAGAUAUCAGGAGGAACACCGGUGGCGAAGGCGGGUCUCUGGGCAACAACUGACGCUGAGGAGCGAAAGCGUGGGGAGCGAACGGG
rnacentral:rRNA from 1 species